UACGAAGGGUGCAAGCGUUACUCGGAAUUACUGGGCGUAAAGGGCGCGUAGGCGGCCUGUUAAGUCGAACGUGAAAUCCCUGGGCUCAACCCAGGAACUGCGUCCGAUACUGGCAGGCUUGAAUCCGGGAGGGGGAUGUGGAAUUCCAGGUGUAGCGGUGAAAUGCGUAGAUAUCUGGAGGAACACCGGUGGCGAAGGCGGCAUCCUGGACCGGUAUUGACGCUGAGGCGCGAAAGCCAGGGGAGCAAACGGG
rnacentral:rRNA from 1 species